UUGGGUAUAUUAAAUUAGUUAAUGACAUCAAAACUCCAUUCCCAAAUUUCUUCAUGAAAUUUCAUCCCUCCCUCUCAAAGAAACUCUCUCUACAAAUCUCUAUUGGAGAUGAAACUCAAGAACAUCUUAGAGGUUAGAUUUUCAUGUUUUCUUCAUCAAGUUAUCAUGGUCCUUCUAUGUAAUGAGUAAGUGUAGGUGAUUAAUUACUAGAGGAUUCCUCUUAAAGUGAAGGGCUUUAUACAUGUUUCCAAGCUCAAGAAAAGCAAUUAUGAUUCAAGGAUUUCCUAUGUCAAGUUAUUAUUCAAAGUAUAUGUAAUAGCUUAGUUAUUAUUUAUGUCGUUAAGAGUCGUGUCCCUAUUCUACUCUAUUGAAGUUGAGUCUACGAUGACAAAAGAUAGUCAGAGUCUAACUAUGUAUUAUGGCUAUUUUAUGUUUGUAUGAAGUGAUGAGUCUAGCAUAUAUUGUGUUAGAAAUGUUUUAAAUU